rnacentral:lncRNA from 1 species
GAUAUUAUCACCAGACCAUGGGCCAGCAAGGACCGGGGGACCUGGUCAGGAUUAGUCCUCGGAGGCAGUAGACCAGCACUCACAGAUCCCCAUCUUUGACAGCAUUGGAGAAGCUAGAAUUACAUUAUUUUUCAAAAGGACAAAGUAACAAAAGAGCUGGCUGACUGAUAUGUGCAGUAGGUAAAUUUUUCAUCUUUAGUAAUUCUGGAUCCUCAUUCAAUGAUUUCAUUUUUUUAGAUAUUUGUGAUCAAUAUUACACCAUUUCCCAACAGUGGUUUCCAGUCCAAUAUGGCUGGUUUUCUUAUAAGAAGAGGAAAUGAGGAUACAGAAAACAUAGACAGAGGAAUGGCCGUGUGAUGACACAGGGAGAAGGGAGCCAUCUGCAAACCAAGGAGAGAGGCC